GGAUAUAUAGCUCAGUGGUAGAGCACAUACUUAGCAUGCACGAGGUCCUGGGUUCAAUCCCCAGUAUCUCCA
rnacentral:tRNA from 1 species